GACGUAGGGCGCGAGCGUUGUCCGGAUUUAUUGGGCGUAAAGAGCUCGUAGGCGGCUUGUUGCGUCGACUGUGAAAACCUGAGGCUCAACCUCAGGCCUGCAGUCGAUACGGGCGGACUUGAGUACUGCAGGGGAGACUGGAAUUCCUGGUGUAGCGGUGAAAUGCGCAGAUAUCAGGAGGAACACCGGUGGCGAAGGCGGGUCUCUGGGCAGUAACUGACGCUGAGGAGCGAAAGCGUGGGGAGCGAACAGG
rnacentral:rRNA from 1 species